rnacentral:rRNA from 1 species
AGUGAACGCUGGCGGUAGGCCUAACACAUGCAAGUCGAACGGCAGCACAGUAAGAGCUUGCUCUUACGGGUGGCGAGUGGCGGACGGGUGAGGAAUACAUCGGAAUCUACUUUUUCGUGGGGGAUAACGUAGGGAAACUUACGCUAAUACCGCAUACGCCCUACGGGUGAAAGCAGGGGAUCUUCGGACCUUACGCGAUUGAAUGAGCCGAUGUCGGAUUAGCUAGUUGGCGGGGUAAAGGCCCACCAAGGCGACGAUCCGUAGCUGGUCUGAGAGGAUGAUCAGCCACACUGGAACUGAGACACGGUCCAGACUACUACGGGAGGCAGCAGUGGGGAAUAUUGGACAAUGGGCGCAAGCCUGAUCCAGCCAUACCGCGUGGGUGAAGAAGGCCUUCGGGUUGUAAAGCCCUUUUGUUGGGAAAGAAAAGCAGCAGGUUAAUACCCCGCUGUUCUGACGGUACCCAAAGAAUAAGCACCGGCUAACUUCGUG